GUAGAGCUUGCUCCUUGAUUCAGCGGCGGACGGGUGAGUAAUGCCUAGGAAUCUGCCUGGUAGUGGGGGACAACGUUUCGAAAGGAACGCUAAUACCGCAUACGUCCUACGGGAGAAAGCAGGGGACCUUCGGGCCUUGCGCUAUCAGAUGAGCCUAGGUCGGAUUAGCUAGUUGGUGGGGUAAUGGCUCACCAAGGCGACGAUCCGUAACUGGUCUGAGAGGAUGAUCAGUCACACUGGAACUGAGACACGGUCCAGACUCCUACGGGAGGCAGCAGUGGGGAAUAUUGGACAAUGGGCGAAAGCCUGAUCCAGCCAUGCCGCGUGUGUGAAGAAGGUCUUCGGAUUGUAAAGCACUUUAAGUUGGGAGGAAGGGCAGUAAGUUAAUACCUUGCUGUUUUGACGUUACCGACAGAAUAAGCACCGGCUAACUCUGUGCCAGCAGCCGCGGUAAUACAGAGGGUGCAAGCGUUAAUCGGAAUUACUGGGCGUAAAGCGCGCGUAGGUGGUUUGUUAAGUUGGAUGUGAAAGCCCCGGGCUCAACCUGGGAACUGCAUCCAAAACUGGCAAGCUAGAGUACGGUAGAGGGUGGUGGAAUUUCCUGUGUAGCGGUGAAAUGCGUAGAUAUAG
rnacentral:rRNA from 1 species